GCAGUCGAGCGAAUGGAUUAAGAGCUUGCUCUUAUGAAGUUAGCGGCGGACGGGUGAGUAACACGUGGGUAACCUGCCCAUAAGACUGGGAUAACUCCGGGAAACCGGGGCUAAUACCGGAUAACAUUUUGAACCGCAUGGUUCGAAAUUGAAAGGCGGCUUCGGCUGUCACUUAUGGAUGGACCCGCGUCGCAUUAGCUAGUUGGUGAGGUAACGGCUCACCAAGGCAACGAUGCGUAGCCGACCUGAGAGGGUGAUCGGCCACACUGGGACUGAGACACGGCCCAGACUCCUACGGGAGGCAGCAGUAGGGAAUCUUCCGCAAUGGACGAAAGUCUGACGGAGCAACGCCGCGUGAGUGAUGAAGGCUUUCGGGUCGUAAAACUCUGUUGUUAGGGAAGAACAAGUGCUAGUUGAAUAAGCUGGCACCUUGACGGUACCUAACCAGAAAGCCACGGCUAACUACGUGCCAGCAGCCGCGGUAAUACGUAGGUGGCAAGCGUUAUCCGGAAUUAUUGGGCGUAAAGCGCGCGCAGGUGGUUUCUUAAGUCUGAUGUGAAAGCCCACGGCUCAACCGUGGAGGGUCAUUGGAAACUGGGAGACUUGAGUGCAGAAGAGGAAAGUGGAAUUCCAUGUGUAGCGGUGAAAUGCGUAGAGAUAUGGAGGAACACCAGUGGCGAAGGCGACUUUCUGGUCUGUAACUGACACUGAGGCGCGAAAGCGUGGGGAGCAAACAGGAUUAGAUACCUGG
rnacentral:rRNA from 1 species